rnacentral:rRNA from 1 species
AGCAGCCGCGGUAAUUCCAGCUCCAAUAGCGUAUAUUAAAGUUGUUGCAGUUAAAAAGCUCGUAGUUGAAUUUCGGGGUCAGUAGGCUGGUCAUGCCACAGGUAUGUACUGGUCUCACUGAUUCCUCCUUCCUGAUGAACCGUAAUGCCAUUAAUUUGGUGUUGCGGGGAAACUGGACUGUUACUUUGAAAAAAUUAGAGUGUUUAAAGCAGGCUAACGCUUGAAUACAUUAGCAUGGAAUAAUGAAAUAGGACGUUCGAUCCUAUUUUGUUGGUUUCUAGGAUUGACGUAAUGAUUAAUAGGGAUAGUUGGGGGCAUUAGUAUUCAAUUGUCAGAGGUGAAAUUCUUGGAUUUAUUGAAGACUAACUACUGCGAAAGCAUUUGCCAAGGAUGUUUUCAUUAAUCAAGAACGAAAGUUAGGGGAUCGAAGACGAUCAGAUACCGUCGUAGUCUUAACCAUAAACUAUGCCGACUAGGGAUCGGAUGAUGUUAUUUUUAAUGACUCAUUCGGCGCCUUACG